rnacentral:rRNA from 1 species
GAUGAACGCUGGCGGCGUGCCUAAUACUUGCAAGUCGAGCGAACGGACGAGAAGCUUGCUUCUCUGAUGUUAGCGGCGGACGGGUGAGUAACACGUGGAUAACCUACCUAUAAGACUGGGAUAACUUCGGGAAACCGGAGCUAAUACCGGAUAAUAUUUUGAACCGCAUGGUUCAAAAGUGAAAGACGGUCUUGCUGUCACUUAUAGAUGGAUCCGCGCUGCAUUAGCUAGUUGGUAAGGUAACGGCUUACCAAGGCAACGAUGCAUAGCCGACCUGAGAGGGUGAUCGGCCACACUGGAACUGAGACACGGUCCAGACUCCUACGGGAGGCAGCAGUAGGGAAUCUUCCGCAAUGGGCGAAAGCCUGACGGAGCAACGCCGCGUGAGUGAUGAAGGUCUUCGGAUCGUAAAACUCUGUAUUGGGGAAGAACAUAUGUGUAAGUAACUGUGCACAUCUUGACGGUACCUAAUCAGAAAGCCACGGCUAACUACGUGCCAGCAGCCGCGGUAAUACGUAGGUGGCAAGCGUUAUCCGGAAUUAUUGGGCGUAAAGCGCGCGUAGGCGGUUUUUUAAGUCUGAUGUGAAAGCCCACGGCUCAACCGUGGAGGGUCAUUGGAAACUGGAAAACUUGAGUGCAGAAGAGGAAAGUGGAAUUCCACGUGUAGCGGUGAAAUGCGCAGAGAUAUGGAGGAACACCAGUGGCGAAGGCGACUUUCUGGUCUGUAACUGACGCUGAUGUGCGAAAGCGUGGGGAUCAAACAGGAUUAGAUACCCUGGUAGUCCACGCCGUAAACGGUGAGUGCUAAGUGUUAGGGGGUUUCCGCCCCUUAGUGCUGCAGCUAACGCAUUAAGCACUCCGCCUGGGGAGUACGACCGC